GUAGAAGGUAUGCUUGGUGAAAGAUACUGUUCUCAGGACUGCAGCACUGAACUGCUGGCCCAAGAAAGGAAGAAAUGGCCAAAGAAAAGGAGAAUUAAGAUCACUUUAAGUCAUUCUGAUUCAACUGUGGAUUGAAAAUUGAUUCAGUGCAAGAAACAAGACAUCCCUAUUAUUUGCUAUUGAUGAAACUGUGUUUUGAAAAGACCUUGAAGAGCUAUGAUUAGCUUCAGAGAGGUUUCCCAGCACUGAGUUAAGAAGCAGAGCCUACCUUCAGAUCAAGGGUUUUUGAUGUUGGUCAUAACACCAAAGAAGGCUGAAUUUACUCCAGACUUUAAAAAUGGAAAUGUGUGAGUAAUAAAACAUUUUCAUUUUAUAAACCCAUCUAAACCUAGUCCCAGAUGAAACUGGGAAUAUUCUUCAUACAAGAGUAACCAAAUAAAUCAGAAUCCAAAAGUUUUCAUGAAACCCU